GUAUCACAUUGACUUUAGCAUUAUAUGCUUUUCUGCACUAAGAAUCUCUUCACUUUACAGUAAAGCUACUGGAAAUGAACAAUUAAUUUGCUUUCUUACUGUAAUAAUCUAUUCUAGGAAUUGCAGGCUAGGUGCUUCAGUGGAAUGAACAUUGUUCUUGUUUGAUGUUAGGCUUAGAGAGUAUGACUGAGAUGAUAUGUGUUCUUAUCUCAAACUUUCUAGGAAUCUUAGGAGCUGCAACUUGAGGGGAAAGGUUCUUGAUCUAACUAGGAUUCACAACCUUCUUUUCCUGUAACUCUCACAUGAUGAUUCUUCAUCAAUAUUUGAAGUCGGAAUUAAGAUACUUGCAGAAUAUUUAGCAGGACGGAGCUGCAUGUGUAGUUGUUACCAACAUUAUGGGCAAUGGGUUCAGAAGUUGAAGUACUUGAGUAGAGAUUGAGUUUGUUUUUGGGUGAGCUGCAGAAAGAAUUUGAAAUUUUUGAUAGAAUUGUCUACAAAAAUAAGAAUCAGCAUCAAAGGUGCUCUUAUUGUCAGUAUCUGCUCAAGGUGAGAAGGGAUUUGAGGCUUCUGCAAUCAGCAAAUUUGGGGGAAAUCUUGAACUCCUGCUUUGUUGCAAUCCAUAGAAAAAGACCUAAACAAAAACUGCAGCUUUUGGAAAGUUUGAAGAGGAGAAUGUCUGAUGUUGGUAAAUAUAGCUUUUUGGAACGGCUUCUUGGAGUUGCACGUCUACUAUCGCAGAUAAUGACACUGACGCUGCAAAUCCUGAAUCUGCUCCAGAAGGUCCUGAUGGCAAUUAAGGUCAAGACAUUGGUUCUUUGGCUGAUCCUGUUUCACAAGGUGAGUAUAUAAGAGACGGUUCUUCCAUUGCAGGACCUACUGCAAAGAGUAGCAUGACUGUGGAAGAUGGCCUACUUACAACUUCAAAGCUUAUCUCCGCAUUUGAGUCCUUUUAACACACAAGGCCGGGGAGAAAAAGGUUGCCCUCUUAGCGGUGAGAAUGAUUCUGGUGUCAAACUAACAGACAAAAUGGGAUGCAUUUUUCAGUCUGCUUAUUGGUGACAAUAAGAAGAGCAGUAGUGUCUCCUAGGAGCAUAUUCAGACCAAAAAGCCAGUCAUAUUGGGCUUUUUCCCCCUCUCUAUGGCUGUUUUUUUUUUUUUUUUUCUUUUCAUUUUUUCCCAAUUACGCUUAACGUGGUUUAAACCUUUGGAGCAACUCCAAUGGCGUGUCAUGGGAGGUACUCAUUACACGUAUCAUCAUCAGAAUGAUGCGUGUAAAUGUUGCUAAAAAAAAAAAGGAUAUAGUGGGGCCCUUUUUUGCAACGGAUAAAUUUGGUAUCGCUAUCACGUAUGAUAUUUUCAC